rnacentral:rRNA from 1 species
AGAGUUUGAUCCUGGCUCAGAACGAACGCUGGCGGCGUGGAUAAGACAUGCAAGUCGAACGCUAAUUUCAGGGUAGCAAUAUCCUGAAGUUGGAGUGGCGCAAGGGUGCGUAACACGUGGGUAAUUUGCCGUGAAGUUGGGGAUAACUCGCUGAAAGGCGAGCUAAUACCGAAUGUGAUCAUUGGGUGGCAUCAUUUGAUGAUCAAAGCUGGGGACCGCAAGGCCUGGCGCUUCACGAUAAGCCCGCGGCCUAUCAGCUAGUUGGUGAGGUAAUGGCUCACCAAGGCUAAGACGGGUAGCUGGUCUGAGAGGACGACCAGUCACACUGGAACUGAGACACGGUCCAGACACCUACGGGUGGCAGCAGUCGAGAAUUUUUCUCAAUGGGCGAAAGCCUGAAGGAGCGACGCCGCGUGGGGGAUGAAGGGCUUCGGCUCG